AUGCAAACUGGGGCAUCACGCCGUGCUCCAAAAAGAAAGAGAGGGCGGUCAACUAUACAAGAAGAAGAAGAAUUUGUUGAGGAUGAUUCAGAAGAAGAUGAGGAAAUGGGAGCAGCGAUAGAUGCUGACGACGAUGAGGAGACAGAUGCGGAUGAAUCAGAGGAGGAGGACAAGGAUGAGGAUGACAAUGAAGAAGAUGCAGAGGAGGAGGAGGAUGAGGAGGAAGAGGAGGAGGAGGAGGAGGAGGAGGAGGACAAACAAGAAGAGGACAAAGGAGAGGAGGAGAACAAGGAAGAAGAUAGUGAUGCAGAGGAGGAGGAAGAAGAAGGUGAGGCCAGAGAGGGGGACGGGGACAAAGGGGCAGCAGUUGAUGGCAGUGAGAGGGGAGAAGACAAAGGCGCAGCAGCUGAUGGCAGUGAGAGGGAAGAAGACGAGGAUGAAGAAGACGAGGAUGAUUAUGGCAUCACAAAGGAGCAAAUGAUGGAGCUACCAGGGAGGCAUUAUUGGGUCUUCAGUGUCAACUUGAGGGACGGACGCUUCGAAGUUCUUGAUUCAAGCAGGACGCUGGACAACAUUGAGCUGAUGAACAACGCCUCUACCAUUGCGGGGGCAGUACGCCAGCUAUGGAGGAAGCAUUACCCAAAGUUUAGCAUCGAGCACUUCCAGAUUAUUGACAUUGACGUACCGAAGCAGCUUGGCAAUAAUGAGUGUGGGUUGUUCGCACUGCUUAACGCCACCGAGUGGAAUGGUAGCCAACUGCCCAACUACAACCCCAAGGAAGUACUCAACAUCAGGAAGAAGCUGACGUAUGAUUGGGUCACCAGCGUGCACAACACCGCCCCAUGGAGGAAGUUGGUGAGAUACGACAAGGAGUAG
rnacentral:rRNA from 1 species